CAAACAUUUGUUAUCUCAGACCAUUUCUGUGCAUCAGGAAUCUGGAGUGGCUUAUUUGGGUGAUUCUGGCUCAAGGUCUCUCAAGAGGAUACAGUCAAGGUAUUGGCCUAGACUACAGUCAACUGGGACUGGAAGAUCUGUUUUCAGGAAAACUGAUUCACAUGGUUAUUGGCAAGAGGCCGCAGUUCCUUGCCAGGUUGACCUCUCCAUAGGGUUGCUUGGAUGUCAUCAUGACAUGGCAGCUGGCUUCCCCCAGAGAAAAUGAUCCCAAAGAGAACAAGACAGAAGCCACAAUGUCUUUUAUGACCUAACCUCAGAAGUCAUACACACUAUCCUGUUGGUGACACAGGUUACCCUAGUCCGUGUUGGACAGGACUCUCUAGGGAUGUGAAUACUAACAGAUUGUCCCUGAGCUAACAGCUGAACCAGUCUUCUUCCAUUUUGUAUGUGGGAUGCUGCCACAGCAUGGCUUGAUGAACAAUGCGUAGGUCUGCGCCCAGGAUCCGAACCUGCCAACCCCGGGCCACUGAAGCAGAGCAUGAGAACUUAAGCACUUUCACCAGUGGGCUGGCCCCCACCGUGCUCUUCUCCCCUCUGGUCUUUAUCAUGCAGAGCAAACUGCCCAGUUCACAGAUUCGUCCAUUCAAGGUUGUGAAUACUCAUACACUGAUGUUUUUUCUCUCUUUUACUCCCAUGUGACUCCCAAGGCAGGAACUGGAAAGCUGGAAAGAAUGAAUAAACUGGUCGUUGUAUUUCUCUGACAUGAAGGAAGCCACUGCAGCAUUCUUUAAGAGCAUCAGGGGGCCCAGGUGCAGAAAAAUCAUUUGACAAAAUCCAACUCCUCCUUCUGAUAAAGACACUUCUGCUGGGAAUAGAAGUGAAUUUCCUCAACCUAACAAAGGCCAUCUAGGAAAAACCCACAGAGAACAUCAUACUUAAUGGUGAAAGACUUGUUGCUUCCCCCUAAGAUGAAGACGACGACAAGGGUCUGCUCCUACCACUCCUAUUCAAAAUAGCACUGGAAAUUCCAGCCUGAGCAAUUAGGCAAGAAAAAGAAAUAAAAAGCAUCCAAAUUGUAAAGGAAGAGGUAAAAUUAUCUCUAUUCACAGAUGACAUGAUCUUAUAUGUAGAAACUCUAACGAUCUUACACAAAAACACCGUUAGAGCUAAUAAACAAAUUCAGCAAAGUUGCAGGAUACAAAAUCAACACACAAAAAUCAGUUGCAUUUCUAUAUACUAAUGAUGAACAACCUGAAAAGGAAACUAAGAAAACAAUUCCAGGGGGCCAGUCCGGUGGCGCAGUGGUUAGGAUCACAUGUUCUACUUCAGCGGCCCAGGGUUCACUGGUUCAGAUCCCGGGUGUGGACAUGGCACCACUUAUCAGGCCAUGCUGAAGCAGGCAUUCCACAUAUAAAGUGAAGGAAGAUGGGCACAGAUGUUAGCUCAGGGCCAGUCUUCCUCAGCAAAAAGAGGAGGAUUGGCGCCAGAUGUUAGCUCAGGGCUAAUCUUCCUCAACAAAAAGAAAGAAAGAAAGAAAGAAAACAAUUCAAUUUAUAACAGCAUUGAAAAAAGUAAAAUACUUAGGAAUAAAUCUAACAAAAAAAGUGAAACACUUGCACAAUGAAAACUAAAAAAUUCCAUUGAAAAAAAUUAAAGACAACCAAAAUAAACGGAAAGACAUUCCAUGUUCAUGGAUCAGAAGACUUAAUAUUAUUAAGAUGGCAAUAUUCCCUAAAAUGAUCUACAGGUUCAAUGCAAUCCCUAUCAAGAUAUCAGCUGCCUUUUUUUGCAAAAUCAGCAAGUUAAUCUUAAAAUUAAUAUGGAGAUAUAAGGAACCCGGAAUAGCGAAAAUAUCUUGAAAAAGAAAAAAAAAGAUGGAGGACUGGACAAAGUGGGAGGACUCAUACUUCCAGAUUUCAAAACUUAACUACAUAACAAGACACUGGGGCACUGGCAUAAGACUAGAAAUAUUGACCAAUGGAAUAGAAUUCAGCAUCCAGAAAUAAACUCUUAUAUUUAUGGUCAAUUAAUUUUUUUUUUGAGGAAGAUUAGCCCUGAGCUAACAUCUGCUGCCAAUCCUCCCCUUUUUGCUGAGGAAGACUGGCCCUGAGCUAACAUAGGUGACCAUCUUCCUCUACUUUAUGCGUGAGAUGUCUGCCACAGCAUGGUUUGACAAGCGGUACCAUGUCUGCACUCGGGAUCUGAACCCGUGAACCCUGGGCUACUGAAGCGGAACGUGCGCACUUAACUGCUGAGCCACUGGGCCAGCCCCUGGUCAAUUAAUUUUUGAUAAGAGUACUAAGACAAUUCAAUGGGGAAAAAUAGUCUUUUCAACAAGUAGUGCUGGGACAAUUGGAUAUCCACAUGCAAAAGAAUGAAGUUGGACCCCUAUCUCACACCAUAUACAAAAAUUAAUUCAAAAUGGGUCAUAUACCUGAAUUUAAGAGCUAAAACUAUAAAACUCUUGCAAGAAAAUAAAAGAGUAAAUCUUCAUGUUCUUGGAUUAAGCAGUGAUUUUUUAGAUAUGACACCAAAAGUGCAAGUGACAAAAGAAAAAUAUAGGUAAAUUGGGCUUCAUCAAAAUUAAAACUUUUGUGUUUCAAAGGACACCAUCAAGAAAGUGAAAAGAGAGCCCACAGGGUGGGAGAAAAUGUUUGCAAAUCAUACCUGAUAAGGGACUUGUAACCAGACUAUACAAAGAACUCUUAUAACUCAACAAUAAAAAACCCCCAAAUAACCCAAGUUAAAAAUGGGCAAAGGAUUUUAAUUGGCAUUUCUUAAAAAAUAAUACAAAAAUGGCCAAUAUGCACAUAAGACAAUACUCAACAUCAUUAGUCGUUAGGGAAAUUCAAAUUGAAACCACAAUGAAAUACCACUUCAUAACCAUAGGUGUAGGAUGGCUAUAAUCACACAGGGGGACAAUAAAAUGUUAGCAAG
rnacentral:lncRNA from 1 species